rnacentral:rRNA from 1 species
AUUGAACGCUGGCGGAAUGCUUUACACAUGCAAGUCGAACGGUAGAGGGGGCAACCCCUCGAGAGUGGCGAACGGGUGAGUAAUAUAUCGGAACGUGCCCAGUCGUGGGGGAUAGCGUAGCGAAAGUUACGCUGAUACCGCAUACGAUCUAAGGAUGAAAGCGGGGGAUCGCAAGACCUCGCGCGAUUGGAGCGGCCGAUAUCAGAUUAGGUAGUUGGUGGGGUAAAGGCUCACCAAGCCAACGAUCUGUAGCUGGUAUGCGAGGACGACCAGCCACACUGGAACUGAGACACGGUCCAGACUCCUACGGGAGGCAGCAGUGUGGAAUUUUGGACAAUGGACGCAAGUCUGAUCCAGCCAUUCCGCGUGCAGGACGAAGGCCCUCGGGUUGUAAACUGCUUUUUUACGGAACGAAAAGGUCUCUCUUAAUACGGGGGACUCAUGACGGUACCGUAAGAAUAAGCACCGGCUAACUACGUGCCAGCCGCCGCGGUAA